ensembl:lncRNA
CUCCCUGGUGGCCAUCCAGCCUCUAUGACUCUCACAGGCUACCAUAGAUUCAUUUUGCUUUCAUUUGGUAUUUAAGGGAUUCAAUAAUAUAUAGUCUUUGUUAGGGCUGGAGAGAUGGCUCAGGAGUUGGGAGCACUGGCUGCUCUUCCAGUAGGUCCUGAGUUCAAUUCCCAGCAACCACAUGGUGACUCACAUCGAUCUGUAAUAAUAUAUAGUUUUUGUGCCUAGCCUCCUUUGCACAAUAAAUAGUAUGUGAUUUAUCCAAGUUGUUGCAUCAAACAGUAUCUUGUUCUUUCUAGUUGCAGUGAACAGAUAGAACUUCUUUAUUAAGCUGCCUGUGGUUGAACAUUUGGAUUCUUUCUGCCUUGUGGUAACUGCAUAUAGUAUCACCGUGAAUGUUUUUCCUCUGUGCCUUUGAUAAACAUGCACAAUUUACAUUUACCUUGGGGGUCAAGUACUAGUCCACAUGUGCUGCACUGCUCAAGACAGUGAAAACACAGGUAUACCACUGAACAUCUAACAUGAUCUCCACACAAUGUCCUCUGUAGCAGUGCUUGGUCCAGAGUGUGUUUUCUUUCUUUCUUUCUUUCUUUCUUUUUUUUUUUUUUUUUUUCGAGAUAGGGUUUCUCUGUAUUGCUUUGGAGGUUGUCCUGGCACUCGCUCUGUAGACCAGGCUGGCCUGGAACUCACAGAGAUCCACCUGCCUCUGCCUCCCGAGUGCUGGGAUUAAAGGCGUGCGCCACCAACGCCCGGCUCUGUGUUUUGUUUCUUAGUCAUUCUGGUUGCUGCAUGUUAGACCCUCAGGAUAAUUUGCGUUUUCCUGAUGAGUAAUGAAGGUGGGGCAUCUUUUCCUGUGCUUACUGGCCACCCAGAGUUCUUUGGAAACUGCCUCUACAAGUGUUUUCAGUUUUCUUUGAACGAUCUAUCUUUUUCUUAUUCAUUUCUAGACUGUGUUUACAAAAUCACUUGCAGGCCCUUUUAGUAAUGCACGAUUUUUAAUGGCUUCUCACAAUACAUGACUCUUUUUCUUUGAUAGACAGCAAUUCUUAUUUUUAGUGGUCGACUUUUUCAAUUUUUAUGAUUGUGUUAGUUUGACAAAUACCCAAGGCAAACAACUUAAGGCAGGAAGGAUUUCUUCUUGACUCUCAGUUGUAGAUGGCUGGUUGUUGUUUCUAAGCCUGUGGGAGACCCAUACUGUAGAAGGCACAAUGAUGCAAAGUUCCCAUCUUAAGAGGGCUAUGCAGCUAAUAGGAAAAGUGCCUGCACUGGCAGACUUCAGCCUUCCUCCACUUCCAUCCACGGGACAGCGUCACCCACAUUCAAGAUGAGUUUUCCCAUUCCUUCCCACCAAGAGCAGUCAAGCACCAUGCUCAGUUUUCAGAUGGAUCCAGCUGGCCGUGGUCUGCAGCCGCACGUUAAGAAACCAAAUUCUGAAAGUUGAACCAAAUCGAAAAGCAAAACUUGAAUUUGCUGUCGGCCAGAUACUGUGACAAAUGCAUGGAAAGGAAGAGAGGUGUAGGUGCUGUGUCCGGUGUGGAAAGCCAUCGAGAGACUUUAAAGUGCAGGUGAGGACUGCAUUAGUUAUAUUCAGAUGCUGAGCCGUUUUUACCUGGGAAGAGUCUUGAGCAUCAUGGGUGUUGGUAUGCACAAAUAGUCCAAGAACCUAUCUCUCAAUGAAGAGUAAGCUGGAGAGGUCACAGCCACAAAAGCUUUGCAACACUGUGCAAGGACAGAAUCUGAUUGCAAUGGGGCAAGACUUUCUUCUGCUCUCACUUCCCCUUUACCUCACUUACAAGCACCCUAUGCGGAGACUUUCCACAGUAUUUUUGGAACAACGCCGAGAUGAAGCUGGAUUGGAGGCAUAUUUAGCUUGGCUUUAAGGCGAUAUAUUUAGUUGGCUUCCAGUCACCUCUGUACAUAGAUAAUUUAUUGCUAUUCAUAGGAAUUGCUUCUAGAAAUACUCUGUAACUGAAGUGCCAACUCAUGCCACAUCGUGAUACGAAGGCACACAGAUGGAAGUCUACCACUGGGUGCCUGUGCAGUGGAGAAUCUGGCCCUGGAAAUGAGAGGGAAAUGAGGGGCCGUCUAGACUUUCGGUUACAGCAGUGGUAGGUGGUCAGUCUGUGGGGGUUCCUCCCUUAGCAACCACGCACAACAAGUGUAAGCCAGAAUCUCCAUCACCCUGGCUAUCAGUGAGUUAGGAAAUUCUGACUCUUUAGACCACAAACCUAUAGGAGUUUUCUAAAUGGCAUGUCCUGCUGUGGGACACAGGCUUACGCAUCUCAACUAUUUAAACCUAAAAAGAAGUCUGGUAUGACAUAUUAGUGAAAGACUAUACUGCCUUUCUAUUGUUUUUUUUUCUCCUUAAAAUUGCUAUGUGAUAAAGAGACUAGCAAAGAUUAAGUAUUCAAAAUAGUAUUGGGAAAUAUUAUAAUAAUGUAUGAUAGCUAAUUAAAACAAUGUGUCAUAUAUUUGUGAUAUAUGCAGUAUUUGCUGUGUUUUAAAUUUUUUCUAUUUUGAUUUCUUUCUUUAUUCUGAUAAAAAAAAUUAACUUUUCUAAAUGAGGGCUCUGCACUGGGAAAGUGGGCCAAGUCCUGGAUAUGAGUUUAUAUGGUGCAUGCUAUAGCUUAGAUCUUGAAUGACCCCCAAAGGCCCAUGUGCUAAACUUGAUCCCCAGAUGAGGUAAAAGCUUGAUGACCAGACAUGUUACCAGGAAAUAGGAGAACAUUUAGUAGGUGGAGCUACCAGGUCUUUAGGAUAGUGGGGGCAUGUCCUUGAAGGAGACUGAAGAGGGUGGGAGAAAGACCUCAGCCAUGUUCAUUUCUUUGUUUUGUUCUUUCUUAUUGUUUUGUUCUGUCACAUGCUUGCACUUGAUAUGUUUUCUUAGUCUGGGACUAAGCCAACUGGAUGAAUUGAUGCUGGAGUCAAACAUCCAAAAUGGUGAGCUAAAACAAGGGUUUUCUCAUUGUAGGUUAAUUAUUUCAAAUAACUCAUUACGGUGCUAGAACGAUAAUAACAUGGUAUGUGUUUUGGUUACUGGGGAGGGUAUAGUAGACAUAUGAGUUCCACACAGAAAAAGGAAACGGGAAGAAACUAUCAGACUACAUUUGACAUUUCUAUCUAUCAACUAAUCCCCCAUCCUCGUCAUCCCUGCCUAAAAAUAUCCCCAGAAAAUUAGAUUCUUAGCACUUGCUCUUGAUGAAAAUGAAGGGAUUGAAUUAUAGGGUUGGCUAGAGAUCAAGGUUGGCACUACUCUUUUCCCCCUGCCCCUAAGGAGGGACGCCCUGAGUGUAUUGCUGCUGUCACUGCCUGUUCUGCUUCUGCAGUGCUGGAGACUGAACUCAGGGUCUUGACUAUAACAGGGACAUGCUCUACCACUGAGAUUUGGUUUGUUGUUGUUGUUGUUGUUUGGUCCUUGUUUUUGUUUUGUUUUAUUUUUUUGAGGCAAGGUUUCACAAAGUUGCCUAGACUGCCAUCAAACUUUCUCUAUAGUUCAAGAAGUCCUUGAGUGUGUAAUCCUCCUACUUUAGCCUUCUGCACAGCUGAGAUCACAGGCUACACGGCCUCCUCUUAAGAGUGACUCUUGACCAAGCUAUCUCCUCAGGGAGCAAGCUGACAUCUUCAGGGAGCUCACAUGAUAUUCCUAGGUUUUGAGGGUGACACAGCAAGUUUUACCCAGAAUACCAUAAGCAUUAUUGGCAUGGUGUAAAAAGGUCUUUCUAGACGUUCUGUGUCCACCUUUCCUUCCUUCCACUGUUUGUGUACAGUGACUAUGUAGGGGCGUUUGACUUGGGCAAGACAAGUUACACUGAAGGGCCCAGACCCUCACCCAACCCCCUGCUUUGGCAGCUUCAACAGGCUGCAGAAAAGACACAGCAAGAUAUUGGCCCCUGACUGAGCAGCAGGUGCUGAGCCUCCAACCUUGCCCUAAUCACUAGGAAGCAACCACCAGAUACCCUCCAUCUGGCAAGGAACCAAUCAGAAGUUAGCUGGCGGGCUCUGGAUGUGCUUUACUGAUAACAAUGGAAUGCAGGGAGUAGCAACUGCCCUUGGAUGGCCUCUAGGCAUAGCAAUCUUUUCUGCAGCUGCAGCUGACCAAUCAACUCAGGACAGGUUGCCCAAGCCUGGAGGUGCACCAAUCCUGAGACUGUUGCCGUGCAACUAGCAGACCCCCAGAUUCUCCCCUUGCUCUACCCCAAUAUAUGUCCUUUCCCACUGAGACUCAGGGUCCCUCCUACUCCACCCACUGUGUCGGUUGGAUGGAGGACCCAAGUUAACUCGUAAAUUAAAAAGACUCUUUGCUUUUGCAUCAAAUCUGGUCUCUUGGUGGUUGCGGGGGGGGGAGGGUUCGGAUUCUGGGCACAACACCACCAUCUUACAUCAACGUAUACUUGAACAGCAAGCUACUCUGCAAUGCUCACCCUUUCAUCUUCCAUGGGAUUGUUCAUACGGUCCAUCAAGCACAGCCAGCUGAAGACCUCUCACUGACUGUAGGGCCUUGAACAUCUUAAACGGAUCUUCCCAGUUUUCUCGUGGCCAAGCUUGACUUCUCUUUGUCACCCUUCGCUCCAACCAGAGGACAGUGAGCUACCAAAUCUCACCACUGAGUCAUAUCACACCGGAAGGAGCGACACAGAGGAGGCCAGGUGCAAGCUUGAGGCUCACUGACUCCAACGCCCCUGCUCCUAACCAUGGCUUUCCACAGACAACUAACAGAAAGAAAGGAAAAUGACAGCCGUGUGCAAUGGAGAAGAGCGGAUGUGCAGCCUGGGAACAGACCAUCAAUCCCACCGAGUCUCGUUCCCCUCAUCCGUGAUCACAGCUUGGGUAAACUCCCCAGUGUUCAGUUCUAAAGUUAGGGGCCUAGAAUAUAAACAUUCCCUAAUUCAUCAGAUAAGCCACUGUAUGCCCAAAGUACAGCUGCAUCUAACACCACCAGACCCUAUGGAGACAGCCAGCUAGUGACCCAAACAAAUCAUGUCACUAUCCUCUCCUGCUGUAUAGCACUGUCCUGACAUACCAUGAACCCAAGAGUCCCUAUAUCUUCUCAAAGUUUAAAGCUCCAGAAUGCAGUGCACAGGUACUGUAGUCUGCCACAAUUUGGAUUCCAAGGAAGUAAGUCACAAAUCUUCCCCCACAAGACAUUUAGGGGCUUGGGCCUACAUCUAUAC